AAAGACUUGAUUAUACACUUGUAUCUUAAUAUACUAUUUUAAACACUCAUUCUGUUACUAUUUUGUAAAAAAAUUAAUCGAAUGGAGUGUUUUACCACUGUGUCUCAAUCCAUUUGGUUGCGUAAAUGGGUAAAUUGCCACUAACCCGAAACUACAAUUUUUCUUGUCUACCAGUUUUUCAUAUUUCUACUGUAAGGAUGACGUGUUAAAUGUACCCAUCAAUAUCUAAUACAGUCACUAAUCGCCAAUUGCACCGUCAACAUUAAGUAUCCCUUAAAGUUAAGCAUAACUUAAAUUUAGGUUUAUUUAAUGUAAUGUUCUUUUAAUUUUAGAUGUUUCGAAAAUUACAUUCAAUUUAUGCUGAUAAUGUCUGCAAUCCAUUUUACAUUCCCGAUGAACCAAUCACUUCAAAAUCGUUCGACAAAAGUGUCAAGCAUAUUAUAAGUGGAAAUUAGAAUAGCUAUAUAUUUUAUAAAUAAAAUUUAAGGCGUUUACUCUAUUACAUCAUAUACCUAUGUUCUAAUAGUCAUCAAAUAAAUUUAUAAAUCUUUGUGAAAAGGGGAGGGGGUAACACCCUUUUCAUUUAUUUGAAUGUACUGUUAUUUAAUUUUGAAACACCUGCAACUUCUGAAUGGACAGUUUUUUAUACAAAGACAUACCUAUAGAACAGUAGGACAUGUCUUUUAGUGAUGAUUUAAGGCUUAUGUUUUGGAAGGUAAUAUUGGGAAGAAGACAUCAGGCACUGGUUGUCGGUAGGAAAUGAAAGCUGAACGCCGCCGUUCUGAAAAGAAUAGUAGGAGAAUUGCUGGACCAGAAGAACGCCCUUAGAAACGGCACUAAUUUUAAUGCUGAGUGUUGCGGUUCCAUUUCUUGUUGCGAUUUCAACUGUGUACAUUGUAGUAAGUAACAAAAAUGAUACAACACAAUUAGCCUGUGAAGAGCACUGCCAUCAGAUUCGACAUCGUCAA